rnacentral:rRNA from 1 species
UACGUAGGGUGCGAGCGUUGUCCGGAAUUACUGGGCGUAAAGGGCUCGUAGGUGGUUUGUCGCGUUGUUCGUGAAAACCGGGGGCUUAACCCUCGGCGUGCGGGCGAUACGGGCAGACUUGAGUACUGCAGGGGAGACUGGAAUUCCUGGUGUAGCGGUGGAAUGCGCAGAUAUCAGGAGGAACACCGGUGGCGAAGGCGGGUCUCUGGGCAACAACUGACGCUGAGGAGCGAAAGCGUGGGGAGCGAACAGG